rnacentral:lncRNA from 1 species
CAUCACCAUAACAACACAGCUCUGCUGCAUGUAUCUACACUGAGUGGACAAAACAUGAGGAACAACUUUUCUUUCCAUGACAGACUGACCAGGUAAAUCCAGGUGAAAUCUAUGAUCCCUUACUGAUGUCACUUUUAAUAUCCACUUCAAUCAGUGUAGAUGAAGGGGAGGAGACAUGUUAAAGAAGGAUUGUUUAAGCCUUGACACAAUAAGACAUGGAUUGUGUAUGUGUGCCAUUCAGAGGGUGAAUGGGCAAGAGACAAUAUUUAAGUGUCUUUGAACAGGGUAUGGUGAUAGGUGGCAGGCAGUUUCUCGUGUGUAUCAAGUAUGAUCCACCACCUAAAGGUCAUCCAGCCAAUGGCAGGCCAGUGGUCGAAAACAGGUCCUUGAUGAAAGAGGACAAAGGAGGCUGACACAUAUUGUGCAGAGCAACAGACGGGCUACAGUCAUUUGACAGUCCAGUAAAACAUUAAUGUCCAAAGACCCAUAAAAGAAGGCACAACUCAUCGUACAUUGACACGAAUAGGGUUUGGCAGUUCCACUUCUUUCAGCAAAAAACAAGAAACUGUGGUUGCAGUUGGCUAAGGAAUGAAAACACUGGACACUGGAGAAUUUGAAAAAUGUUGCUUGGUCUGAUGAAUCCCUGUUCUCACUGUUUUAUACUGAUGGGAGGACUAGGGUAUGGCGAAAACCACAUGAGAACAGAAAUAGGACAGCACUCAGGUAUUGUAUUUUCAAAACUUUUCGGGUAUGAGCCCUUCUUCAGCGUGCAAGACAAUGGCAAUCAAUGUCAAAAACAAGACCUUAUAAUUAAACAUUCACAGUCAGUAUUGGCUCAAUCAAGAAAACCACAAGUACACGCAUCCAGCAUGCCACGUGUCUUCAUUACAUGCUGGUGGUGGGGGUGUGGUGGUGUGUGGAGUGUCUUCAUUACAGGCUGUUGGGGGGGGUGUGGUGGUGUGGAGUGUCUCUCAUUACAGGCUGGUGGUGGGGUGGGGUGGUUGUGGAUGUCUUCAUUACAGGCUGUGGUGGGGGGUGUGGAGUGUCUUCAGUACAGCGGUGGUGGGGUGGGGAGUGUCUUCAUUACAGGCGGGUGGUGGGGUGUGGGUGUGUUCAUUACGGCUGGUGGUGGGUGUGGUGGUUGGAGUGUCUUCAUUACAGGCUGGGGGUGGGGGUGUGGUGGUGUGGAGUUCUUCAUUACAGGCUGGUGAUGGGGGUGUGGCGUGUCUUCAUUACAGGCUGGUGGUGGGGGUGUGAGUGGACUCAUUACAGGCUGGGGGGGGGGGGGUGUGGAGUGUCUUCUUUAC